CUAUGACUUGAAAUAAAGUCAUGGCGGAAGGAG
ncrna:unclassified sequences L31-Firmicutes ribosomal protein leader